UACGGAGGGGGCUAGCGUUGUUCGGAAUUACUGGGCGUAAAGAGCGCGUAGGCGGUUUAUCAAGUUGGGAGUGAAAUCCCAGGGCUUAACCCUGGAAUUGCUCUCAAAACUGAUAAUCUAGAGAGCGGUAGAGGAUGGUGGAAUUCCUAGUGUAGAGGUGAAAUUCUUAGAUAUUAGGAGGAACACCGGUGGCGAAGGCGGCCAUCUGGGCCGAAUCUGACGCUGAGGCGCGAAAGCGUGGGGAG
rnacentral:rRNA from 1 species